AUUUUCUGCAUUUUGUCGUAAAAUCCGGUGUCUGUGAGGCGGUGUGUUUGCACAGAAUUGGGGCUACAGUAAUCC
ensembl:ncRNA Y104H12D.7 ncRNA